GGGCCCGCACAAGCGGUGGAGCAUGUGGUUUAAUUCGACGCAACGCGCAAAACCUUACCUGGGCUAGAAAUGACAAGAAUCUGGUCGAAAGAUCGGCGUGCCCUUCGGGGAACUUGUUGUUAGGUGCUGCAUGGCUGUCGUCAGCUCGUGUCGUGAGAUGUUGGGUUAAGUCCCGCAACGAGCGCAACCCUUGCCGUUAGUUGCCAGCAUUCAGUUGGGCACUCUAACGGGACUGCCGACUCUUAAGUCGGAGGAAGGUGGGGAUGACGUCAAGUCCUCAUGGCCCUUACGUCCAGGGCUACACACGUGCUACAAUGGUCAGUACAAAGGGUUGCGAACCCGCGAGGGGGAGCUAAUCUCAAAAAACUGGCCUCAGUACAGAUAAGAGUCUGCAACUCGACUCUUUGAAGUCGGAAUCGCUAGUAAUCCCUGAUCAGCAUGGCAGGGGUGAAUACGUUCCCGGGCCUUGUACACACCGCCCGUCACACCAUGGGAGUCGAUUGCUCCAGAAGUGGCUGCACCAACCCGCAAGGGAGGUAGGUCCCCAAGGAGUGCUCGGUGACUGGGGUGAAGUCGUAACAAGGUAGCCGUAGGGGAACCUGCGGCU
rnacentral:rRNA from 1 species